UCGAGGGCGUAUCGCUGCGCGUUAUUUCAAUUUGCAUGGUGGCGGGUAAUCGCGUUCCCAGAACUAAUUUAGCCGUAUCGGACGGGGGACACGGUCCGUGAUCGUAAGCCAGAUAACAUUGCAGAUGAUUAUCGGACGGCGCGAUUUCUUGCCGGCCGGAAACCACGUUCUACCGUGUACGCCAUUGUAUGGUAAUCGCCCUUCACGAAAUCUGAAGUGGAAAAAAGGAACGAAAAGUGGGAGAAGUCAUUGCGCAAUUCAUCGUCGGUCUUCCCCUCUGUCUGCUUCCAUUCAUACGCAGGAGUCAUAGAGAGAGAGAGAGAGAGAGAGAGAGAGAGAGAGAGACAGCGAGAGCAACGCUACGACGCACGUGGGAUAUAGCAACCGGAGAUAACGCUUCCAGAUUCUCAUUCGAUUGCGCCACAAAUUAAAAGAAUUAAUGAGCAACGUCGUGGCUCGUGACGACAGCUGCUAUAGCGUUCGAGAGUCGAGAGGGUAAUUGCGUUAGUCUUGACGUUUAUUUUACGACUGCCUUUCGUGCUCGGUUAACCCGGACGUGUAACAAUCGUUUUCGUCGGAACACGCGGAAAGAGUUAUCGGCGAAAUGAACGGGGCAGUUUUCAUCUCAAGGUCAAUUCGGUCAGCCUCACCUCCAAGAGGAUCGAGGAUGGUUGCGAGCAAGAGGAUCGAGAAAGUCGAGCAAUCGUAAUAGCGAGCUGUCAAGUUCGAUUGUCUAGGACAGCGAAUGGCAUUGGGAUAACUGUUCGGCGGGAAAGAAAGGCGAAUAGAAAAUAUUUGAAUUUCUUUUAGGCGGUUUCGCGUCACAGCGCUACCACAAGAAGCUUUUUACCACGGCGAUCCAAUUGAUUCCUGGAAGCUUCGAAAGAGCAUCGAGGAGAUGAUUAUUUGCUCCAGCAGCGAUAACCGGUGUCAAUUCUUUCGACUUUGUUGGCUGGUCCGCGUUAAGAAAGCCGCGCUGAUUACCACGGCUGGAUUCCCCGAGCAGGUUGGACGGGUAGCAUUCGCAGCAGUGGUCCAAACGCUGCAAGCUCCCGAGAGACUGUUCACCGGGAAGGAAGCUAUCCUGGAGGGUCAGCGUUUCCUCGCACGGUUCUCGACCUCCGAUCGAACCCGUUCCGAUGUCGCUGUUACACGGCCACCCGGCCGCAUAGAGAUUUCGAUACACGUGGGCUGACGGUUUUGUGGAGGCCAGAACGAUGAAUUUCGUGGCGACCGAGACGUUUCGAAGGCGGAGGAAGAAGGUGGCAGCUCCGCAUGGUCCUUUUGCGUCACAAAAAGAUCCUCCAGGUCGUGUUUCGCGAUUCGUCAUCGCGAUGCUUCGUGGAUCCUCCGGAUCCUCGAUAUCGGACCGAUCUAAUCGACGCCUCAUUAAGGAUCUACCAACGGCGCUGGUCAACGUGCAGCGUUGGCCGCAGUGGUUCUCAUUGCCAGCUCGGCUGCUCGUCGCUGUUGAAGGAAUUCCAGAGAGCCGUGCGACUAGCCUCGUCUCUAAUGAGAAAGCUGUCCACCGGCCGCUUCCACGCGAGCUCGAAAGCGGCCACCUUUCCUCGUCCUUCCGACCAGUGUGAACGCUCGGCCACCUACCAGAUGAUUCAUGCUCAUGCCCAUCCACGUGGAAAACGAGCCGAGGAGAUCCAGCGCGAUCGGCGCGCGCGGAUACGCGCGUGUACAGCGCCUGUGACACGGAUCCGGUCGACGACGGAGCCGCCUUUUCCCCUCGGGCACCGCGUAACAGGCCCUGCCAUCCGGGAAACUUUGGAAAAACGCGUCUUUCGAACGCGCACCGUUGAAACUACUCGGGUCGAGGCUGGGUCGUUACGGUGGCUUGAUACGCCAAGAGAUACUGAUUAGUGCGACGAGCAAUUAGUCGCGAUGACGGUAAUGUUUCCUUAUUGUCGCGAACGCCACGAGGACAAGCUGAUGGCAGCUGCGCUAGAUUACAGGGUGGCCGCUUGUCUGCGUGAUUACCUAGAUCGGUCGGAAGUUGGAUCGGUUAACGAUGGCCGGAGCGGUCGCGGCGGGACAAAAUGGCGCGGAACAGGGUCGAGGACAUAGCCUCGGGACAAGCAGCGUUCGAUUCUUUCAGUGGCGAGCGCAUCGCUGGGAUUCCUGUUGAAUGGAAUUCCUCGAUGCAUCCUGCGAGGUCGGGUUUCGUUACCGAGUUACGAACGCGAAGGUCGCCGCUUCUCGUCUCGAGGAUACGCUUUGAAUCAUCGACAUCGGGUAUUGAAUCAGCGUUGCAUUCGACCGCUGACGAAGCUGACUUUAACGCUUGCGAAACGUUGCAAUAUUUCAUCCACUGGAUAAUCAGGUGCUUUCAUUUGGUCGCAUCCGACGGCCAACGAAAUACUUCUGUUGGAACGCAGCGUGGUCCGGAACGUAAGACACGAACAAGCCAUUUUAAUUCAACAACCAACCAUUCACCAACACCUGGACAAGCUUCCUGUCCGGCGAGGAAACCCGUAUACACUCGGGACGAGUCCGAACCGGUGGUCGUUUGACGUCGAAUUACACGAAAACAUCGCGGCAGCCUGUUGCUCCGAGCGAUCUCGGGCCUUGGAGGGAUCGACGAUCGUCCCUGGUCGUCUUUUUGAUCGGCGCGUUGCGUCCAGCGUCCCAGGGGCGGUCGUGUCUCGUCAACGGGCCACCGGGAUGGCCGGUCGAGAGGUAACGACCCGCGGGGUCACAGGAGGAUCCUGCCGAGCGCGAGGCAUUCGCGACGAGCGUUGCUCCACGUCGAGGGGGAGAGCUCGCGCACGCCGGAGUCGCGCCUCGAAGAUCGUGGACGAGCGCGGAGGAAGAUUCGGCGGCCGAUCGUUGCGGAGGGAGGAAAAAGGAGAUGUUCGGCGAAGAUUCGAUCGGUGGUCCCGGUUCUGACCGUCUGUCCGUGGCUGUUCGCCGAGGGAUCGUCGACUAAGAAGGCCCGACCUGGCCAGGAUCACCCUCGUGCUCUCGUGCGCCGCGCGUAACCCUGUCUUUCUGCGUGGCCCAUGGUAGUCGUGUGACCGUGUGUUGGUAGGCGAGGAGAAGUUCCGUGUGCCGUGGCGUACCUUGAAUGGUAGGGAGGGGAAGGUAAGGUGCUAUGCGAAGGAGGACAGACGUCUCGCGAUCGGCAGAGGUUAGAGAGAGAAAGGGCCAGAGAGCGAAAGAGGAGGAGAAGGAAACGCGACGGUGGAACAGGUAGAAAAGAGGCGGACAAAGGACGACUCGUACGAGGGGAAGGGAGAAGAAAGAUCGGCAGCUCUCGAAGAGAUGCCAGAGUUCUCUCUCUGUGUUCGAAGGAGAGUGGACGCUGGCAAGCCUCGAUGGACCACCUACCGUUCCUGAUCCGAUCUUCGUAACGCUCGUCCGUCUGUCCGUCUGUCCGUCCGUUCGUUCGUUCGUUGGUUCGUUCGUUUGUGUCUCGCGCGUGGGGUACUCCUUUGCUCGGCGUCGCCCCGGCCCCGCUGUUCCCAUCAAUAACGCUUAUAAUGUCUAAUUAAUCACGAAUUAUCUAGAUCCUGGGGCUGAAAAUCGGAGAAAGCCGGCACGUCGACGCGGAUUGGCGGGCCGUGCCGACCCGGGUCGCGGAUGUGUCAAUAGAGGUUACGGAGUAGAGGGUACCCUGGCAGAAAUUCGUGUACGCUAUUUGUCGAGUCGGCCAGUGGAACGAUGAAAUCGUCGACCAGAGACGGCCGGCCACUUUCCAGCCGCGUUAUGUAAGCGAUUAAUUAAUCGUCUCGUUAAGAGGCCACGACGCGUUGGGUACAGCGCCGGGAUUAGCCCCUCGAAUCAUUAAUUUUCCCGUAUUUAAACGCGCCUCGUUUCGUGGAUUACCUGCCUUUUCCAGCCCGGCCACGAAUGAUUUACGAGCGUCUCGCCGGUGAAGUCGAUUGAAUCGAAUUCGAGUGGCCGAUGAACACGUAUCUAACCGUGGGCACCGGUGGAAUCAUUGUUCGACCUUACCUACGCCUCCCUCGCCAUCCACCUUCCACCUCGGAUGGAUAUUCACGAGAGGUAGAACGACCGGCUGACUCGAUGUGCAACAAUAAGCGCCACUGCGUGCCGCGUUUGUAGCCAACAAGCCUGUUCACCGUGGCCAAUUCCCGCUGAAUGAUAACACGUAGGAGGAUGCCUACGCGGUACACGCCGCUCUUAGACGUUCACCAGACGACAGGCUAAUCCCCGACCGGCCAGGGCCUGUCCCGUCGCUUUCUGCGAACAAAAGCCACGGAAAUUCGUAGUCGUAUCCCUGUCGCGAUUCCUUUUAUUCGCCCGGUCCCGGUAUAAUUACGUUGCCGUUUAAUCGAAUUCGCCUUACCGUCGUCACGGUCUACGAUGCACCGGGGUUUAACCGAUUAAUGAAGCAGCGUUAUAGGUGAAACACAGCUUUAUCUGGAAUAUCGUUCGCUACCCUGCGUCGUGCUUUAGGUUUUCAGCGACGAGUGGAAGGAAUUGAUUUACGAGGGUUACUCGAGAAUUAUCCACUUCUGAAAUCGGACGGGCGUAUAAUUUCGUGCUAUUACACGACCUCGCACCUCGACUCGGGGAAAAGUACAUUUAAAAAGGAUCCUAAUCGUCGAGGAUUAAUCGCGAUGGAGGAAAUCCUGUCGGAACCUUGGUCUCGACCGAUCUCUAACCCCGAAUUCCUGCGUCGAGACGUAUCCCGUGCAACGGCUCGGCUGUGAAUCGUACCGAGGCAUCGGAUUCGUCAUCGCGGGGUAGAAGAAAAGAAUCGGAAUUGGCAUUCGGGAUCACGCUAGGCGGUCCAAGAAGGCCGUUCCCGUGCCUAACACCGUGGAAUCGACGCAACACGAAAGGCGGAUUGCUUGGCUGCUCCCCGGCCGCGUCCGUUGCGCUGUCUUGUGUUCGGCCAACGGAGGUGACGAUAAAAAGGGAGCAACGAGAGGGAACGAAGAAAACGGGAAGAAAAAGGGAAGCCCGGGGAGCAAAAUCGACGAAGAAAAAGGAGGAUCGAGACGAGAAGAAAACGUGACGUCACUAGAAAUAACAUCCGAAUUCCUAUCGGUAGGCAUCUUGUACCGACGCCAGCCUACUCGCGGGACCUGACGCCAUCUUGGACGCGCACUAGGUUAGUUCUAGAAUAUUCUAACAUAGUAAUAGGAUAAGCUACGCUGUUACUCUUUUGUCUUAUAUUAAAUACUUAAAACAAAUUCUAUA